CUAUAGAACAGCGGGAAGAGCCUAAAGAUUAGAUUGUGAAAAAAGAAAGUAGAAGCCAUGUUUCGAAGACCUGUAUUUCAGGUACUUCAUCAGUUUGUAAGACAUGAGUCUGAAAUAGCUAGCAGUUUAGUUCUGGAAAGAUCCUUAAAUUGUGUGCAGUUACUUGGGCGAGUGGGUCAGGACCCUGUCAUGAGACAGGUGGAAGGGAAAAAUCCAGUCACAAUAUUUUCUAUAGCAACAAAUGAGAUGUGGGGAUCAGGGGACAGUGAAGUAUACCAAAUGGGUGAUAUCAGUCAAAAGACUACAUGGCACAGAAUAUCAGUAUUCUGGCCAGGCCUCAGAGAUGUGGCCUAUCAGUAUGUGAAAAAGGGAUCUCGAAUUGAUGUUGAAGGGAAAGUAGACUAUGGAGAAUACACGGAUAAAAAUAAUGUGAGGCGACAAGCAACAACAAUCAUAGCUGAUAAUAUUAUAUUUCUGAGUGACCAGGCAAAAGAGAAGGAAUAGAAUGGACGAUUCAACUUUGGUACAGUCUUAUUUCCAAAUCAUGUAUAGUCUUUGUAGUUUCUGAAGAGAAGAAUUAAAAUAUU